rnacentral:rRNA from 1 species
AACGCUGGCGGCGCGCCUAAUCCAUGCAAGAAGCGAGAAGGUGUAGCAAUACACUUGUAAAGCGGCGAACGGGUGAGGAAUACAUGGGUAAUCUACCAUCCAGUGGGGAAUAACCAACCGAAAGGUUGGCUAAUACCGCGUACGCCUCCGGAUCUUCGGGUUCGGAGGGAAAGCUGCACUGUGAGUGUAGCGCUCUUUGAUGAGCUCAUGUCCUAUCAGCUUGUUGGUAGGGUAACGGCCUACCAAGGCUUUGACGGGUAGCUGGUCUGAGAGGACGAUCAGCCACACUGGCACUGCGACACGGGCCAGACUCCUACGGGGGGCAGCAGUAAGGAAUAUUGCGCAAUGGGCGAAAGCCUGACGCAGCGACGCCGCGUGGGGGAUGAAGGUCUUCGGAUUGUAAACCCCUUUCGGGAGGGAAGAUGGAGCGAGCAAUCGUUCGGACGGUACCUCCAGAAGCAGCCACGGCCCAACUUCGUGCCAGCAGCCGCGGUAACACGAAGGGUGGCAAGGCGUUGUUUCGGAUUCACUGGGCGUACAGGGUGUGUAGGCGGGUUGGUAAGCCUUCUGGUAAAGCUUCCGGCCCAACCCGGAAAGGCAAAGGGUACUGCCAGGCUAAAGGGUGGGAAAAGGACCCGGAAUUCCCGGU